UUGAAGGAGUCACAUAAAGGAUUUCAAGGCAGGAAAAGCUUACGGCUACAAACAAUGUAACUAGAAAUUUAACAGCUUGCUACACUAUCUGGGUAUAUUUAUAAUCCAUGUAAGAAAUCAGAUGUUUCUUUCAAUAUAGAUCAGUGACCCAACAUGAUAUGAACCAUAGUCGCAAUCAACAAUGCACUCCACAUCAAAAUAAUUACACGGUAAUUAUAAACUCAGAUCUAUAAUCUGAGGUUGUGAUAAAUGAAAUAAUAGAAAAGAAAAGAAAAAAGAAGUGGUGUACUGUUUGGCAUAUUGAUGGUGGUCGUUACCUAUUACAAUCAUAGUUUUAAAAGGCACACUUUUGCGCUACCUGGAUGCGCUUUUCAAGGCACCUCCAGGAUUUAGCCUUAAUCGGAUCCGGAUCCCC
rnacentral:lncRNA from 1 species